UACGUAGGGGGCAAGCGUUGUCCGGAUUUAUUGGGCGUAAAGCGCUCGCAGGUGGUCCGUCGCGUCGGGCGUGAAAGACCCCGGCUCAACUGGGGAGGGUCGUGCGAUACGGGCGGACUGGAGGCCAGUAGGGGGAUGCGGAAUUCCGGGUGUAGUGGUGGAAUGCGUAGAGAUCCGGAGGAACACCAGCGGCGAAGGCGGCAUCCUGGACUGGUCCUGACACUCAGGAGCGAAAGCGUGGGGAGCGAUCCGG
rnacentral:rRNA from 1 species